rnacentral:rRNA from 1 species
UACGAGGGGGGCAAGCGUUGUUCGGAAUUAUUGGGCGUAAAGGGUGCGUAGGCGGUUUUGUAAGUCUUGUGUGAAAUCUCCGAGCCCAACUCGGAAACUGCGUCGGAUACUAUUCGGCUAGAGGAAUGGAGGGGAGACUGGAAUUCUCGGUGUAGCAGUGAAAUGCGUAGAUAUCGAGAGGAACACCAGUGGCGAAGGCGAGUCUCUGGACAUUUCCUGACGCUGAGGCACGAAAGCCAGGGGAGCAAACGGG